rnacentral:rRNA from 1 species
AUACGAAGGGGGCUAGCGUUGUUCGGAAUUACUGGGCGUAAAGCGCGCGUAGGCGGACUGAUCAGUUGGGGGUGAAAUCCCAGGGCUUAACCCUGGAACUGCCUCCAAUACUGUCAGUCUUGAGUUCGGGAGAGGUGAGUGGAAUUCCUAGUGUAGAGGUGAAAUUCGUAGAUAUUAGGAAGAACACCAGUGGCGAAGGCGGCUCACUGGCCCGAUCCUGACGCUGAGGCGCGAAAGCGUGGGGAGCAAACAGGAUUAGAAACCCUAGUAGUCC